CCUGCACACUGUUAAAGCUUGAUGCUGAGGUCAGUUCCUGGCCAAUGAGCUCUCAAGUGUCGGAAGUGUGCUACAGCAAAGCGAAUGGCAGGGUUCUCACUGAUGCCAGGAGAGGACCUUCCUCGAGGACUGGAGUCUAAUAGUAGGCCGUGCCACAUGU
rnacentral:snoRNA from 1 species